CGGCUGAUGGGGCCCUCGGUAGAAAAGUGGGUUGGCAAAAUAGAAGCCAACACCGUUGUAGUAGAACCCAAGCCACUCUUGAUUGGGCCGAAAACAAUUGAUUAGAUGGCCCAUACUCUUUUCACGGUUGUACAAGCCAAGGAAACCCUAAACUCACCUAAAAAAAGGAAACCCUAAAAUAUCUACUUUUUCAUCGUCUAUUCCACUCCGCAUUAAUUAAAAAAACAGAACCCAUCUUGCGGCAUCUAAUUUGUACUCCUACCUCAAUGGAAAACAAAUCCACGUCUCUCUCGAAACCAAUUGAGGCAUGGAUCGGUGUUCUCAAGGGGCUUAUUGCAUCAAAAUUAGUUUCCUCAUCUCGAUCAGGAAUCAAUUCUGAAUCUUCUCACAUAUACGUACAACCUAUGGAUACAACCUAGAGAUCGAUCUUCAUCCUCUCCGAUAUUGUUGUGAUUAAUUCUGAAAUCUUUUGACCUACACACAAUCUAUGGAUACCUCAUGGAGAUCGGUCAGAGCAUAUACUCUUCUCAUUGGGUAAGCUUAUAAAUUAAGUACAUCCUAGAGAUCGGCCUUCGCCCUCUCCGAUAUUGUUGUGAUUAAUUCUGAAAUCUUUCGACAUACGCACAAUCUAUGGAUACCUCAUGGAGAUCCUUCAGAGCAUAUACUCUUCUCAUCAGGGUUAACAUCAUCAAUGGCCUGCCCCAGUCUCCAGUAAGGCUGAUGCCUUUUCUUGAUUUUUUUUGUCGCCGUUCUGACGCAAUCUCCUGUUCAAGGAAGUUCCUUGCCAAGCUUGCAAGUCCUGACCGUUGUAGGUCAGAGAAUGUUUUUCUGGGCAAUUGGUUUGUAAAAGCAAUGGCAAGUGAUAACUACUAAAGCAUUGAGUGUCGUUGGUGUUGCAGCACGUAUGGGGAUUGAUUUUCCUUCAAUUGUGCAUGACAACUACUUGAGCAUUGAGUAUCGUUGCUGUUGCAGUAUUAAAUUUCAAUGCCUUUUUCUAACAAUUUUAGGUUAAUCAGACUGGCGUGUGAAAUCUCGGUGCUAUCAACUACGAGUCAGAAUGGCAUGGUAGGUUAAGACCAGUUAUAGUGUAUUGAUAUUAAGGUCAGCACAAAGGAAAUCAUAUAUGUUCUAUUCAUAUACAAUUUUUAUGACUACAUAUUCCCUGACAAGAUAGUUUCAGAUUGUUUAUAUGUACUGAAUUGAAGCCCACCUGAACAUUACUGUUGUUGUUGUGGUGUCUUCAGGUAAUCAUUCCAAAUUGAUGCCCACUUGAACAUUAAUGUUGUUGUUGUGGUGUCUUCAGGUUAUCAUUCCAAAUUGAUGCCCACCUGAACGUUAAUGAUGUUGUUUUGGUGUCUUCUGGUGAUUGAUAUAAAGCAGAAUGUACUUCCCAAGAUAAUCUACUAACUCGGUUACAGUGUCUAAGAUUGUGCGCCAUGCUGACAGCGGCCACCGAUGUUUGCUUCGUCUCCAACCGUGAAAUGAUGUAUGCGUACAUAUCCAGUGGAACGCUACCCAGUCUCCAUCCUCGGCUUCGACGAUAGAGUUUAACAGCCAGACAUGCCAUUCUCACAAAGUGCUCACACUUCCCAGCCAAUGCCGCUGACUGGCUGCCUCCUCAAUUCGGGAAAAACUGACUACUUGAGGAAAAGUUGUAAGGUAUUAGUGCUUACAUAACCCUUUGCUCUGCUGAUACUCCGCUAAGGAUUUUAGGAGCAUCAUUUUUGUGCACAUUUCCCCUUUCGGGGUUGAAAGGUAUUAGUAUGGCUCUACACAGAAAGCUGCAUAGCAUGCCUAAUUUUGUACUUAACUUGCAGUUCUACAGAUCUACUACAAUUAUAUGAUCUCCUCAUACCAAAACUGGGCAGAUAUCACACAUGAUUUUCGCCUCUGUUUUUAUGUUGUGAAUUUCUGUAAUUUGUAAUACUUUGCUACUUGGGAUAAAGAGCAUGGUGAUUGCAAAGAUUUUCCUUUUCGUUUUUCCAAGGUAUUGGUGAUCUUCCAGUCCAUUCCCGCAGAGCACGCCUUUGGUUAGAUCGUCCACUCAGAGUAUUUCGAAGUACUACAUUUUGGUUGGCAGGGGAUUCUUACGGGGACACAUGAUUCACUUUAUUUCUUUCUGUUUUCAGACACAUGAAACUGCCAGACUGGAAGAAAAAGAAUCCGUGUGUAUAUAUGUCCAUUCUCACUGCAGUGAAACCUUCCUCUACAAAAGGUGCUGCCGUAAUAAUAGUUUCUAUAUUCUAAUAACUUUUGGUUGGACACUUGAUCUCCGUUAGUUAGUUGUUACUUGGAGAUAUAUUCAUUUGAUGCACACAAAAUUAAUCUUUGUACACAGUUACAUGGGUCACUAUUUUUUAAAUACAAAUUAUGGUUGUUUA